rnacentral:rRNA from 2 species
GUAGGGUGCGAGCGUUAAUCGGAAUUACUGGGCGUAAAGCGUGCGCAGGCGGUUAUGUAAGACAGAUGUGAAAUCCCCGGGCUCAACCUGGGACCUGCAUUUGUGACUGCAUAGCUAGAGUACGGUAGAGGGGGAUGGAAUUCCGCGUGUAGCAGUGAAAUGCGUAGAUAUGCGGAGGAACACCGAUGGCGAAGGCAAUCCCCUGGACCUGUACUGACGCUCAUGCACGAAAGCGUGGGGAGCAAACAGGAUUAGAUACCCUGGUAGUCCACGCCCUAAACGAUGUCAACUGGUUGUUGGGUCUUCACUGACUCAGUAACGAAGCUAACGCGUGAAGUUGACCGCCUGGGGAGUACGGCCGCAAGGUUG